UGCAGAAUCCCGCGAACCAUCGAGUCUUUGAACGCAAGUUGCGCCCGAGGCCAUUCGGCCGAGGGCACGCCUGCCUGGGCGUCACGC
rnacentral:rRNA from 3 species